ensembl:lncRNA
AUUGAUGUUUUAAGUGCAUUGAGCUCUCUCGGCCACCGUAACAUACAGACAGUGAAAAGAGAGAAGGUGCUGGAAUACAGAUCUCAACACUCCUUGAGGGUGCAACUCACUCAUUUUACACUCCAAUAUGAGCACAUCGUUACCAUACAUGUAAAGCAAGACUUCUUUCAAAAUAAACCUAAGAAUCCGGGAUUUAGAAAGACAGUAAUUAAAAACAUUAUAGCAAUAUAUUAUAUCAUUAUAACAAUCUCUGAUUUCACGAAUAACUGAUUGUACUGUGACUCUGAGGUGCUCUUUUCUGCUUUUUUCCUAUAAGGACUGCAGCGAAAGAUGAAAGCUCAUUACGCAGCGUGGUGAGGAGAGGCAUGCAGAGGAAGUGGUUGGGGGAAGUAGGGCACAGGGGUGGCUAAUUGGGGUGUGUGAUUACACCGGCUGCUGUUAGCAGGAAUUAGACAACAACAGACCCGGCAGUACAGCUCAUCAUCGCAGAGAGAAGAGAGAAAGGCGAUAUCGCUGAUAUUUCCCUAAUUAUACCAAACACCUUCCCUCUUGCAAUAUCACAUAGCACAACACCAACAUGCGCUCACUGUCUACAGGCACAUGCAAAAAGUAAAACUCAGGCAUUAGGAAACACAACUUUUGAACUACAAUGUGGUCAUAUUUACUGUUGCCUGGGAAAAUUUUGUUGGUAAAAUCCAGUCAUUUCAAUGGGAAUUGAAGGAUUUUGACUUCUGAAGAAUUUACCUAUUUCCCUUUGAGUUUUGACACAAAUUCUCAAUGCUGACUAAUAUCAAGUCUUUUGGUUCAGCAGGGACUCUCUGUGGGUCGAGAUUCUUAAAAAGCAAAACUGAAGAUCCACUACACUUCAGUAUUAUAAAAUGAUCCAUAAAUAUAAGGCUGUUUGAAAAGCAGUUAGGGUUUGUUUCCCAGUCAUCCAAAUAGCUUUAGAUUUUUUAGUCGUCAUUAUUUUAUUUGUGCCACAUCCAGUCCCACUUUCUUUUGCCUGUUAAAUUAUUAAUGAAUGAUUAUUCAGACUACUUUUAUGUGUCAAUUUUCUUACCAAACUAACUUUUAAGAACAUGUUUUUGAAUACCGCAAAAAGCCCUUUGACUGGUCAGGGUCGAAAUAGCUGAUGAGAAAUAAUAACAACUAGCCCCUCUCACUAAAUUUCUUGCUCUUUAUGAAUAAAAGUAUCAGUCUCUAUAGUAAAUAGCA